rnacentral:rRNA from 1 species
CCUACGGGCGGCAGCAGUGAGGAAUAUUGGUCAAUGGGCGAGAGCCUGAACCAGCCAAGUCGCGUGAGGGAGUACUGCCCUAUGGGUUGUAAACCUCUUUUGUCGGGGAGCAAAAGCCGGACGUGUCCGGCUGUGAGAGUACCCGAAGAAAAAGCAUCGGCUAACUCCGUGCCAGCAGCCGCGGUAAUAGGGAGGAUGCGAGCGUUAUCCGGAUUUAUUGGGUUUAAGGGGUGCGCAGGCGGAUUUUUAAGUCAGCGGUAAAAUCGUGGGGCUCAACCCCAUCCAGCCGUUGAAACUGGGGAUCUAGAGUGUGCGAGAGGUAUGCGGAAUGCGUGGUGUAGCGGUGAAAUGCAUAGAUAUCACGAAGAACCCCGAUUGCGAAGGCAGCAUACCGGUGCACAACUGACGCUCAGGCACGAAAGCGUGGGUAUCGAACAGGAUUAGAUACCCCUGUAGUC